rnacentral:tRNA from 1 species
GGGCUUGUAGCUCAAGUGGUAGAGCAACUUGUAGUCCUUCAUGUUGACUGCAGUGUGUCUUGUGGGUUCGAAUCCCACCAAGCCCU